GAUGAACGCUGGCGGCGUGCCUAAUACAUGCAAGUCGAACGAAACUUCUUUAUCACCGAGUGCUUGCACUCACCGAUAAAGAGUUGAGUGGCGAACGGGUGAGUAACACGUGGGCAACCUGCCCAAAAGAGGGGGAUAACACUUGGAAACAGGUGCUAAUACCGCAUAACCAUAGUUACCGCAUGGUAACUAUGUAAAAGGUGGCUAUGCUACCGCUUUUGGAUGGGCCCGCGGCGCAUUAGCUAGUUGGUGGGGUAAAGGCUUACCAAGGCAAUGAUGCGUAGCCGAACUGAGAGGUUGAUCGGCCACAUUGGGACUGAGACACGGCCCAAACUCCUACGGGAGGCAGCAGUAGGGAAUCUUCCACAAUGGGCGAAAGCCUGAUGGAGCAACGCCGCGUGGGUGAAGAAGGUCUUCGGAUCGUAAAACCCUGUUGUUAGAGAAGAAAGUGCGUGAGAGUAACUGUUCACGUUUCGACGGUAUCUAACCAGAAAGCCACGGCUAACUACGUGCCAGCAGCCGCGGUAAUACGUAGGUGGCAAGCGUUAUCCGGAUUUAUUGGGCGUAAAGGGAACGCAGGCGGUCUUUUAAGUCUGAUGUGAAAGCCUUCGGCUUAACCGGAGUAGUGCAUUGGAAACUGGGAGACUUGAGUGCAGAAGAGGAGAGUGGAACUCCAUGUGUAGCGGUGAAAUGCGUAGAUAUAUGGAAGAACACCAGUGGCGAAAGCGGCUCUCUGGUCUGUAACUGACGCUGAGGUUCGAAAGCGUGGGUAGCAAACAGGAUUAGAUACCCUGGUAGUCCACGCCGUAAACGAUGAAUGCUAAGUGUUGGAGGGUUUCCGCCCUUCAGUGCUGCAGCUAACGCAAUAAGCAUUCCGCCUGGGGAGUACGACCGCAAGGUUGAAACUCAAAGGAAUUGACGGGGGCCCGCACAAGCGGUGGAGCAUGUGGUUUAAUUCGAAGCAACGCGAAGAACCUUACCAGGUCUUGACAUCUUUUGACAAUCCUAGAGAUAGGACUUUCCCUUCGGGGACAAAAUGACAGGUGGUGCAUGGUUGUCGUCAGCUCGUGUCGUGAGAUGUUGGGUUAAGUCCCGCAACGAGCGCAACCCUUAUUGUUAGUUGCCAGCAUUAAGUUGGGCACUCUAGCAAGACUGCCGGUGACAAACCGGAGGAAGGUGGGGAUGACGUCAAAUCAUCAUGCCCCUUAUGACCUGGGCUACACACGUGCUACAAUGGACGGUACAACGAGUCGCAAGACCGCGAGGUUUAGCAAAUCUCUUAAAGCCGUUCUCAGUUCGGAUUGUAGGCUGCAACUCGCCUACAUGAAGUCGGAAUCGCUAGUAAUCGCGGAUCAGCAUGCCGCGGUGAAUACGUUCCCGGGCCUUGUACACACCGCCCGUCACACCAUGAGAGUUUGUAACACCCAAAGCCGGUGGGGUAACCUUUUGGAGCCAGCCGUCUAAGGUGGGAUAGAUGAUUAGGGUGAAGUCGUAACAAGGUAGCCGUAGGAGAACCUGCGGCUGGAUCACCUCCUUUCUAAGGAUAAUUUUGGAAACCUGCACUUUUAUCGUAAACUUUGUUUAGUUUUGAGAGAUUUACUUUUCUCAAGGUUGCUUAUUUGGGCCUAUAGCUCAGCUGGUUAGAGCGCACGCCUGAUAAGCGUGAGGUCGGUGGUUCGAGUCCACUUAGGCCCAUUAAAUAAAUAUUUUGGGGCUUUAGCUCAGCUGGGAGAGCGCCUGCUUUGCACGCAGGAGGUCAACGGUUCGAUCCCGUUAAGCUCCAUUGAUAACGUUAGUUAUCAAACUUGUUCUUUGAAAACUAGAUAAUAUCUUUUAUUUCUUUGUUAAUUAAAAUAACCGAGAACACCGCGUUUUAAAGAGUUUAAAACAUUUAAUGUUUGAUCGCUAAACUCAUAACCAUUAUCGUAAGAUAAUAUAGGUUAAGUUAUUAAGGGCGCAUGGUGGAUGCCUUGGCACUAGGAGCCGAUGAAGGACGUGACUAACUGCGAUAAGCUUCGGGGAGUUGUAAGUAAACUGUGAUCCGGAGAUUUCCGAAUGGGGAAACCCAGCAGGAGUAAAGACCUGUUAUCACUGAGUGAAUACAUAGCUCAGUUGAAGGUAGACGUGGGGAACUGAAACAUCUAAGUACCCAUAGGAAGAGAAAGAAAAUUCGAUUCCCUGAGUAGCGGCGAGCGAAAAGGGAACAGCCCAAACCAGAGAGCUUGCUCUCUGGGGUUGUAGGACUGGACAUUUGAGUUACCAAGAAACGAAGUAGUUGAAUGAUUUGGGAAGAUCAGCCAGAGAAGGUGAUAGCCCUGUAAGCGAAACUUCGUUUCCUCAGCCCAGUAUCCUGAGUACGGCGGAACACGUGAAACUCCGUCGGAAUCCGGGAGGACCAUCUCCCAAGGCUAAAUACUCCCUAGUGACCGAUAGUGAACC
rnacentral:rRNA from 1 species